CGUUUGGCGUCGGUCUUAUACAUGCAAGUCGAGCGGGGAAGAGUAGCUUGCUACUUGACCUAGCGGCGGACGGGUGAGUAAUGCUUAGGAAUCUGCCUAUUAGUGGGGGACAACAUCUCGAAAGGGAUGCUAAUACCGCAUACGUCCUACGGGAGAAAGCAGGGGACCUUCGGGCCUUGCGCUAAUAGAUGAGCCUAAGUCGGAUUAGCUAGUUGGUGGGGUAAAGGCCUACCAAGGCGACGAUCUGUAGCGGGUCUGAGAGGAUGAUCCGCCACACUGGGACUGAGACACGGCCCAGACUCCUACGGGAGGCAGCAGUGGGGAAUAUUGGACAAUGGGGGGAACCCUGAUCCAGCCAUGCCGCGUGUGUGAAGAAGGCCUUUUGGUUGUAAAGCACUUUAAGCGAGGAGGAGGCUACCGAGAUUAAUACUCUUGGAUAGUGGACGUUACUCGCAGAAUAAGCACCGGCUAACUCUGUGCCAGCAGCCGCGGUAAUACAGAGGGUGCAAGCGUUAAUCGGAUUUACUGGGCGUAAAGCGCGCGUAGGUGGCCAAUUAAGUCAAAUGUGAAAUCCCCGAGCUUAACUUGGGAAUUGCAUUCGAUACUGGUUGGCUAGAGUAUGGGAGAGGAUGGUAGAAUUCCAGGUGUAGCGGUGAAAUGCGUAGAGAUCUGGAGGAAUACCGAUGGCGAAGGCAGCCAUCUGGCCUAAUACUGACACUGAGGUGCGAAAGCAUGGGGAGCAAACAGGAUUAGAUACCCUGGUAGUCCAUGCCGUAAACGAUGUCUACUAGCCGUUGGGG
rnacentral:rRNA from 1 species